rfam:Sorghum bicolor cultivar BTx623 chromosome 6, whole genome shotgun sequence.
GUAGUCGUAUUCACAUCAAUCUAUAUAUGUUGAGGUGGAUUGGAGUGGAAUUUGAACUAAAUUCCACUCCAAUCCACACCAACACACAUGGAUUGAAGUAAAUACGACA